rnacentral:tRNA from 1 species
AAGAAGUAGUUUAAUUAGAAUACCAGCUUUGGGUG